AAUAGAUAACGCCGUUGACUUUUUUUCACAUGUUUGACCAUUCAUCUUAUUCGAAAAAAAUUUACGUAAUUAUAAUUUAUUUUGUUAUGAGUUGUUUUAUCACUCAUAAUACUUUAAGUGUGAUUUAUAUCUUAUACAUUUGCAUAAAAUUUUUAAAUAAGACGAAUGAUCAAACGUGUGAGAAAAAGUUAACGGUAUUAUAUAUG
rnacentral:pre_miRNA from 1 species